rnacentral:lncRNA from 1 species
GUAGGUUAUGUUAUUUCUAUCCUCUGUUUGUAAGAAAGAGUUGCUUGUCAGAGAAGGAUUGGUAUUAAGUGGAGCGGGCAUCACAUUGUGAAAUGCCAAUAGAUUUAUAGUAAAAAUUAACUAAGGAAAAUAGGACAAAUUGAUUAAUUUCCCAAAUAAUGUUAAUAAAGUCUUAGGGGGCGUUUGGUAAGAGGGUAUCGGAUUCGCGGAAUGGAAUGAACCCCAUAAAUGGUGUUUGGUUCACUGGAAUGGGAAUUGAAAUCUUGGAAUGAUAUCUAAAAAUUUGGUGUUUCUCCAUUCCCAAGUAUUUUGGUGGGUUUUGUCCGAUUCCCAAGUUUGAUUCCAAGAAACAAGUCCAAUUACAUAUUAUAAUUAUACAAUGAUAUAAUUAAUAUUUAUAUAUAUUAUAUAUAUUAUAUAUUAUAAUAUAUACAUAUAUAUAAUAUAUUAUAAUUAUAAUAUUAGUAAAUUAUAUAAAUAUAUAUUAUAAUUAUUUAGUUAAAUAUAAUUAUAUUUAUAUAAUAUAUACAUAAAUUUAUUAAUAUUAUGUAAUAAUAUAUUUAUAAUAUAUAUGUAUAUUUAUAAAUGCAUAUUAUAUGUGCAUAUGAUUAUAAUAUACACAUGUAUAUAAUAUUAAUAAAUUAUAUAAUUAUAUUUAUAUUUAUAUUUAUUAUUUUAAAUACAAUAAUAUAUAAUAAUUACUAUAUAUAAUAUUAAUAUGCAUUAUACUUAUAUAAAAUAUGAGUACAAUUAAUAUUUAUAUAUUAUAUAAUUAUAAUUAUGUACAUAUAUAUAAUAUAUUAUAAUUAUAAUAUUAGUACAUUAUAUAAAUAUAUAUUAUAAUUAUUCAGUUAAAUAUAAUUAUAUUUAUAUAAUAUAUAUAAAUUUAUUAAUAUUAUGUAAUAAUACAUUUAUAAUAUAUAUGUAUAUUUAUAAAUGCAUAUUAUAUGUGCAUAUGAUUAUAAUAUACACAUGUAUAUAACAUUAAUAAAUUAUAUAAUUAUAUUUAUAUUUAUAUUUAUCUUAAAUACAAUAAUAUAUAAUAAUUACUAUAUCUAAUAUUAAUAUGCAUUAUACUUAUAUAAAAUAUGAGUACAAUUAAUAUUUAUAUAUUAUAUAAUUAUAAUUAUGUAUUUAUUUUAUAGCGUUUGUAUAAUUAUAAUUAAUUAUAUAUAUAACAUUUAAUUUAAUUAGUUACAAACUUAUAAUAAUGAUGUUAUUGUAUUAUAUAAUUAUAUAUUAUAAUUAUUUAGUUAAAUAUAAUUAUACUUAUAUAAUAUAUAUUAUAAAUUUAUUAAUGUUAUAUAAUAUUAUAUUUAUAAUAUAUAUGUAUAUUUAUAAAUGUAUAUUAUAUGUGCAUAUAAUUAUAAUAUAUACAUGUAUGUAAUAUUAAUAAGUUAUAUAAUUAUAAUAAUAAUUAUUUUAAAUAUAAUAAUAUAUAAUAAUAACUAUAUUUAAUAUGUAAUAUAUAUUAUAUUUAUAUAAAAUAUUAGUAUAAUUAAUAUUUGUAUAUAUUAUAUAAUUAUAUAAUUAUAUAUUUAUAUUUAAUUAUAUAUAUAAUAUUUAAUUGAAUUAGUUACAAAUUUAUAAUGAUAAUAUUAUUAUCUAAAUUUACUAAUACAUUUAUACUAAUAUAUUUACUAAUACAUUUAUACUAAUAUAUUUACUAAUUAUACUAAUAUAUUUAAUUAGUGAAAAUUUCUUAUAUCUUAUUUACAAAGAGCCAAUAAUUAUCAUUUACGAUGUGGUUUAUAAUAUAUUUAUUAUAUUCCAUUCCGAAAGAGUCGACGAACCAAACAUCAACUAUAGUAAUGAUACACAUUCCAGGUACUUGAACCAAACAAAUAUAUUGGAAUGAAUGACCUCAUUCCAAACCCAGAAUAUCCGAUUCCGAAUCCGAAUCCGAUUCCGACGUGCGAACCAAACGCCACCUUAGUUUUCGUUGUAUAAUAGUACCGUACAAGUCAAAUAUGCUAGCCAUUGUUCAACCUCUGGAUUUUAUUUUGGUCAAUCGAGCAGCAAAUGUAUAUCGAAUCAAUAUGAACGUAGCAGAGAUUUACAGUCAUUGACUUCCCGGCCGGCUUAGUGGCAAAAGACCUUUGAAGUGUGUACUACUGGAACUUGUCAAGCUACCACAAGAUUUUAUCGAAAUUUGGAGAGAAGAAGCAACCUAAAGCCAGUGAAGCUGCCGCAAGAUUUAAAUUUUAUCGAAAUUCUGAAACUAA